UUGCUUCAGCAGCACAUAACACUAAAACUGGAACGACCCAGAGAUUAGCAUGGCCCCUGCACAAGGAUGACAAAAAAUGUUUCCAGAGAGAAUAAACAUCUUC